rnacentral:rRNA from 1 species
GACGAACGCUGGCGGCGUGCUUAACACAUGCAAGUCGAACGAAGUGGCGAACGGGUGAGUAACGCGUAAUCAACCUGCCCUUCCGAGGGGGACAACAGUUGGAAACGACUGCUAAUACCGCAUACUGAAGGAGGGUAUUUCUUCUGAUUAUCUAGUUGGAGGGGUCACGGCCCACCACGGCGAUGAUCAGGAGCAGGUCUGAGAGGAUGAACGGCCAAAUUGGGACUGAGACACGGCCCAGACUCCUACGGGAGGCAGCAGUGGGGAAUUGUCCGCAAUGGACGAAAGUCUGACGGAGCAACGCCGCGUGAGUGAUGACGGCCUUCGGGUUGUAAAGCACUGUUAAUCGGGACGCGGUACCGGAAUAGAAAGCCACGGCUAACUACGUGCCAGCAGCCGCGGUAAUUC